rnacentral:lncRNA from 1 species
UCAACAUUAUCAAAAGUAUGUUGUAUUGCUUCUUUAGGUACACAUGAUUCUGUAAAUAAAACGUGAGAGAAACUAUUACUAAUAAUACAUACAUGAUUCUGCAGUUAAAUGUGAUCUAAAUAUUGCAACGAUCGUAUCCAGAGAACCAUGACGAGUUUUCUUCAAGCUUUGAUAACGCACCAUCUUCACCAUUGUAGAAGGGUUUAAAUACUUGCCGCCAUUGCUGAUCAGAAUCAGCAUCAUGGAACUCACCCGCAUCAUGCUUGGUAAGGUCAACAUUAUCAAAAGCAUGUUGUGUUCCUUCUUUACGUAGACGUGAUUCUGUAAGUAGCUCAUUAAGAGAGCUGAUCUCAUGUUCGUGUUUUCGCUUUAAUUUUUCAAUCUGUCUGUGAGCCUUUUCAGUUUCUUGUUCUGAUUCCAUUGCCCGCUUCUGCAAUUAUUUUAUAACAGAAGGAUAUGAGAACAAUGCUAAAAUUUUCAACAAGUCUGAAGCUCAUGAAACCAAGGGAACAAUUUAAUCAAAAUCCCAAAUGAAGUAAUAUGUUCAUCCAACAGCCUUACAAUUUGAAGCAAACAAUAUCAAGUACAGAUUUUUUUUACUGCAAAAAGACAGCAGAACUACGUUCUAGACUUUUGGCCAUCUAAAGUCUUAAAUCCCAGCCCUUCAGCAAAAAGAAAGAAAUAGAAUUUU